UACGUAGGGUCCGAGCGUUGUCCGGAAUUAUUGGGCGUAAAGGGCUCGUAGGCGGUUUGUUGCGUCGGGAGUGAAAACUUACAGCUUAACUGUGAGCGUGCUUCCGAUACGGGCAGACUUGAGGUAUUCAGGGGAGAACGGAAUUCCUGGUGUAGCGGUGAAAUGCGCAGAUAUCAGGAGGAACACCGGUGGCGAAGGCGGUUCUCUGGGAAUAUCCUGACGCUGAGGAGCGAAAGUGUGGGGAGCGAACAGG
rnacentral:rRNA from 2 species